rnacentral:tRNA from 1 species
GGUAGCUCAGUUGGUAGAGCAAUGGAUUGAAGCUCCAUGUGUCGGCGGUUCGAUUNCUCCUCUAGGGU